rnacentral:lncRNA from 12 species
UUAGUUGUGGGAGGGCUGGUAUGAGAUAAAAAGCUUCAGAAUUUUCUCACAAAUAAAAACUGGCCACUCUAGUUUUGCCAACUACGUGUGUGUAUUUCCUCAUCUAGACAGCAUCUGAAUUAGGGGAAAUAGCCCAGCUGCUUCUUUAUGUUGUGGUGAGCGGGUGCAGAGGACGAGACGACAGCGCCCUAACAGCCAGCACCGGCGGGCAGCAGACCUGGGGAGCGCCAGGCGCAGGGAAAACCAGGCGCAGCGGAGCAGCUCGUGGGCGGGCCUGGCGGGCCGGGGCGGGCCGGGGCGGGCCGGGGGCGGGCCGGGCAGCUGCGCGUGCGCUCUGAGGAGCUCCUGCCGCCUCCCGCGAGCCUCGGGACACGGCGGCGGAUUGAGGGCUUGCCCGGGCCCAGGCUCGGCUCGUGCGGCGCGGCGGCUUCUACGCGGCCCUCCUUCCCACGCCACCUGCUCCUGCCCCGCGCCUUCCUCCCGCGCCUCUUGCCCUGCUCUCUGGGCUCCGCAGCGGGCCUGCCUCCUCCGAGGCAACCAACGCUCGUCUCUCCCUGUCAGUGAAAUUGUCUAAGACGCCUUAUCUCUGGCCAUUGCUGUGUGACAAACACCCAGAUUAUAAAUUAAUGGCCUUCAUAGGCGAAUCACCCAGUGCUGCCAAUAUUGCUUCAGAGUGACUACAAGAGAAACUUGAUUCUGUUAAAGAUCCAGUUACAGAGGAGAACGUCAAAGCCGAUGAGGCAUGCAUAUUGCUCAAGCCAACCCUGCCUUUUAAACCCUUCGUUGAGCUCAGUCCUGGUGAAUGAAUAUGAUAACUGAAGGGAUCCAGCUGCUUCCCUUAACCAUGCAUGAUUCCUGGUACUUGUGCUGGACACUUUGGAGCCUUCCCAUCUGGUGCCCUGGAACUGUUGGAGCCUUGGACUGGGAGUUUGAGGCAGUUCAUCCCCACCUACUCAACACAAGAGGGUGAGAGCCCCUCUUCCUGUUGGGGCAGCAUUAGGAGUGGGUUCUCGGGAUGCCUGUUCCUCUUCCCAAGAAUGUUCUCUGCACAUUCAAGGUGCGGCGAUUUUGGGCCAACUUGCUGUUUCCAUUUUCAGUUUAGGAAGCAUCCGUGCUCGGUGCUGCAUUCACCACUGAGCGGAUGCAUGGCAUGCAGAUGGGAGUAA